GAUGAAGAACGUAGCGAAAUGCGAUAAGUAAUGUGAAUUGCAGAAUUCAGUGAAUCAUCGAAUCUUUGAACGCACAUUGCGCCCGCCAGUAUUCUGGCGGGCAUGCCUGUUCGAGCGUCAUUUCAACCAUCAAGCCCCAGGCUUGUGUUGGGGACCUGCGGCUGCCGCAGGCCCUGAAAACCAGUGGCGGGCUCGCUGUCACACCGGGCGUAGUAGAUUUUAUCUCGCUCUGGGCGUGCUGCGGGUUCCGGCCGUUAAAAAACCCUUUUUACCCAAGGUUGACCUCGGAUCAGGUAGGAAUACCCGCUGAACUUAAGCAUAUCAAUAAGCGGAGGA
rnacentral:misc_RNA from 1 species